UACGUAGGGUGCAAGCGUUGUCCGGAAUUAUUGGGCGUAAAGAGCUCGUAGGCGGCUUGUCGCGUCGGCUGUGAAAACCUGGGGCUCAACCCCGGGCCUGCAGCCGAUACGGGCAAGCUAGAAUUCGGUAGGGGAGACUGGAAUUUACGGUGUAGCAGUGAAAUGCGUAGAGAUCGUAAGGAAGACCAGUGGCGAAGGCGGGUCUCUGGACAGUUCCUGACACUGAGGCACGAAGGCCAGGGGAGCAAACGGG
rnacentral:rRNA from 1 species